rnacentral:rRNA from 1 species
UACGGGAGGCAGCAGUGGGGAAUAUUGGACAAUGGGCGGAAGCCUGAUCCAGCCAUGCCGCGUGUGUGAAGAAGGCCUUUUGGUUGUAAAGCACUUUAAGCGAGGAGGAGGCUAACUAGUACUAAUACUACUGGAUAGUGGACGUUACUCGCAGAAUAAGCACCGGCUAACUCUGUGCCAGCAGCCGCGGUAAUACAGAGGGUGCGAGCGUUAAUCGGAUUUACUGGGCGUAAAAGCGUGCGUAGGCGGCUGAUUAAGUCGGAUGUGAAAUCCCUGAGCUUAACUUAGGAAUUGCAUUCGAUACUGGUCAGCUAGAGUAUGGGAGAGGAUGGUAGAAUUCCAGGUGUAGCGGUGAAAUGCGUAGAGAUCUGGAGGAAUACCGAUGGGCGAAGGCAGCCAUCUGGGCCCUAAAUACUGACGCUGAGGGUACGAAAGCAUGGGGAAGCAAACAGGGAUUAGAUAACC